rnacentral:rRNA from 1 species
UUCCCUUCGGGGCUGGUGCACAGGUGCUGCAUGGCUGUCGUCAGCUCGUGUCGUGAGAUGUUGCGUUAAGUCGCGCAACGAGCGCAACCCCUGUCCUUAGUUGCCAUCAGGUAAAGCUGGGCACUCUAGGGAGACAAACCCUCUCUGAGGGUGGGAAGGUGGGGAUGACGUCAAGUCAGGAUGGCCCUUACGGCCUGGGCUGCACACGUGCUACAAUGCUCGGUACAGAGGGACGCAAGACCGCGAGGUGGAGCAAAUCCCAGAAACCGAGCCCAGUUCAGAUUGCAGUCUGCAACUCGACUGCAUGAAGCCGGAAUCGCUAGUAAUGGCGUAUCAGCUACGACGCCGUGAAUACGUUCCCGGGCCUUGUACACACCGCCCGUCACGUCAUGAAAGCCGGUUUUGCCCGAAGUGCGUUUGCCAACCAGCAAUGGAGGCGGCGCCCUAAGGUGAGGCUGGUGAUUGGGACGAAGUCGUAACAAGGUAGCCGUAGGGGAACC